rnacentral:rRNA from 1 species
GACGAACGCUGGCGGCGUGCUUAACACAUGCAAGUCGAGCGGUAAGGCCCUUUCGGGGGUACACGAGCGGCGAACGGGUGAGUAACACGUGGGUGACCUGCCUCUAGCUCUGGGAUAAGCCCGGGAAACUGGGUCUAAUACUGGAUAUGACUCCAUGACGCAUGUUGUGGGGUGGAAAGCCUUGUGCGGCUAGAGAUGGGCCCGCGGCCUAUCAGCUUGUUGGUGGGGGAUGGCCUACCAAGGCGACGACGGGUAGCCGGCCUGAGAGGGCGACCGGCCACACUGGGACUGAGACACGGCCCAGACUCCUACGGGAGGCAGCAGUGGGGAAUCUUGCGCAAUGGGCGAAAGCCUGACGCAGCGACGCCGCGU